AGAGUUUGAUCCUGGCUCAGGACGAACGUUGGCGGCGUGCUUAACACAUGCAAGUCGAACGAUGAAGCCCAGCUUGCUGGUUGGAAGAGUGGCGAACGGGUGAGUAACACGUGAGUAACCUGCCCUGAACUCUGGGAUAAGCACUGGAAACGGUGUCUAAUACUGGAUACGACCUAUCACCGCAUGGUUGUGGGUGGAAAGAUUUAUCGGUUUUGGAUGGACUCGCGGCCUAUCAGCUAGAUGGUGAGGUAAUGGCUCACCAUGGCGACGACGGGUAGCCGGCCUGAGAGGGUGACCGGCCACACUGGGACUGAGACACGGCCCAGACUCCUACGGGAGGCAGCAGUGGGGAAUAUUGCACAAUGGGCGCAAGCCUGAUGCAGCAACGCCGCGUGAGGGAUGACUGCCUUCGGGUUGUAAACCUCUUUUAGUAGGGAAGAAGCGAGAGUGACGGUACCUCCAGAAAAAGCACCGGCUAACUACGUGCCAGCAGCCGCGGUAAUACGUAGGGUGCAAGCGUUGUCCGGAAUUAUUGGGCGUAAAGAGCUCGUAGGCGGCUUGUCGCGUCUGCUGUGAAAUCCCGGGGCUCAACCCCGGGCCUGCAGUGGGUACGGGCAAGCUAGAGUGCGGUAGGGGAGAUUGGAAUUCCUGGUGUAGCGGUGGAAUGCGCAGAUAUCAGGAGGAACACCGAUGGCGAAGGCAGAUCUCUGGGCCGCUACUGACGCUGAGGAGCGAAAGCAUGGGGAGCGAACAGGGUUAGAUACCCUGGUAGUCCAUGCCGUAAACGUUGGGAACUAGAUGUAGGGCCUGUUCCACGGGUUCUGUGUCGUAGCUAACGCAUUAAGUUCCCCGCCUGGGGAGUACGGCCGCAAGGCUAAAACUCAAAGGAAUUGACGGGGGCCCGCACAAGCGGCGGAGCAUGCGGAUUAAUUCGAUGCAACGCGAAGAACCUUACCAAGGCUUGACAUAACCGAGAACGGGCGAGAGAUCGUCAACUCUUUGGACACUCGGUUACAGGUGGUGCAUGGUUGUCGUCAGCUCGUGUCGUGAGAUGUUCGGUUAAGUCCGGCAACGAGCGCAACCCUCGUCCUAUGUUGCCAGCACGUUAUGGUGGGAACUCAUGGGAUACUGCCGUGGUCAACACGGAGGAAGGUGGGGAUGACGUCAAAUCAUCAUGCCCCUUAUGUCUUGGGCUUCACGCAUGCUACAAUGGCCGAUACAAAGGGCUGCGAUACCGCGAGGUGGAGCGAAUCCCAAAAAGUCGGUCUCAGUUCGGAUUGGGGUCUGCAACUCGACCCCAUGAAGUCGGAGUCGCUAGUAGUCGCAGAUCAGCAACGCUGCGGUGAAUACGUUCCCGGGCCUUGUACACACCGCCCGUCAAGUCAUGAAAGUCGGUAACACCCGAAGCCGGUGGCCUAACCCUUGUGGAGGGAGCUGUCGAAGGUGGGACUGGUGAUUAGGACUAAGUCGUAACAACGGUAGCCGU
rnacentral:rRNA from 1 species